GAUCAUGGUCAGGAUGAACGCUAGCUACAGGCUUAACACAUGCAAGUCGAGGAGCAGCAUUUUAGUUUGCUUGCAAACUGAAGAUGGCGACCGGCGCACGGGUGAGUAACACGUAUCCAACCUGCCGAUAACUCCGGAAUAGCCUUUCGAAAGAAAGAUUAAUACCGGAUGGCAUACGAAUAUCGCAUGAUAUUUUUAUUAAAGAAUUUCGGUUAUCGAUGGGGAUGCGUUCCAUUAG
rnacentral:rRNA from 1 species